GACAGAGGGUGCAAACGUUGUUCGGAAUUACUGGGCGUAAAGCGCGUGUAGGCGGUUCGGAAAGUCGGGUGUGAAAGCCCUGGGCUCAACCCAGGAAGUGCACUCGAAACUCCCGAGCUGGAGUCCUGGAGAGGAAGGCGGAAUUCUCGGUGUAGAGGUGAAAUUCGUAGAUAUCGAGAGGAACAUCGGUGGCGAAGGCGGCCUUCUGGACAGCGACUGACGCUGAGACGCGAAAGCGUGGGGAGCAAACAGG
rnacentral:rRNA from 1 species